rnacentral:rRNA from 1 species
UCAUGGGCGCGAGCCUGAACCAGCCAAGUAGCGUGAAGGAUGAAGGCUCUAUGGGUCGUAAACUUCUUUUAUAUGGGAAUAAAGUAUUCCACGUGUGGAAUUUUGUAUGUACCAUAUGAAUAAGGAUCGGCUAACUCCGUGCCAGCAGCCGCGGUAAUACGGAGGAUCCGAGCGUUAUCCGGAUUUAUUGGGUUUAAAGGGAGCGUAGAUGGAUGUUUAAGUCAGUUGUGAAAGUUUGCGGCUCAACCGUAAAAUUGCAGUUGAUACUGGAUAUCUUGAGUGCAGUUGAGGCAGGCGGAAUUCGUGGUGUAGCGGUGAAAUGCUUAGAUAUCACGAAGAACUCCGAUUGCGAAGGCAGCCUGCUAAGCUGCAACUGACAUUGAGGCUCGAAAGUGUGGGUAUCAAACAGGAUUAGAUACCCUGGUAGUCCAAGGGCGAAUUC